AACGAACGCUGGCGGCAUGCCUAACACAUGCAAGUCGAACGAGACCUUCGGGUCUAGUGGCGCACGGGUGCGUAACGCGUGGGAACCUGCCCUUAGGUUCGGAAUAACUCCCCGAAAGGGGUGCUAAUACCGGAUAAUGUCUUCGGACCAAAGAUUUAUCGCCUUUGGAUGGGCCCGCGUUGGAUUAGCUAGUUGGUAGGGUAAAAGCCUACCAAGGCGACGAUCCAUAGCUGGUCUGAGAGGAUGAUCAGCCACACUGGGACUGAGACACGGCCCAGACUCCUACGGGAGGCAGCAGUAGGGAAUAUUGCACAAUGGGCGAAAGCCUGAUCCAGCAAUGCCGCGUGAGUGAUGAAGGCCUUAGGGUUGUAAAGCUCUUUUACCCGGGAUGAUAAUGACAGUACCGGGAGAAUAAGCUCCGGCUAACUCCGU
rnacentral:rRNA from 1 species